rnacentral:rRNA from 1 species
AGAGUUUGAUCAUGGCUCAGAUUGAACGCUGGCGGCAGGCCUAACACAUGCAAGUCGAGCGGUAGCACAGAGAGCUUGCUCUCGGGUGACGAGCGGCGGACGGGUGAGUAAUGUCUGGGAAACUGCCUGAUGGAGGGGGAUAACUACUGGAAACGGUAGCUAAUACCGCAUAAUGUCGCAAGACCAAAGUGGGGGACCUUCGGGCCUCAUGCCAUCAGAUGUGCCCAGAUGGGAUUAGCUAGUAGGUGGGGUAACGGCUCACCUAGGCGACGAUCCCUAGCUGGUCUGAGAGGAUGACCAGCCACACUGGAACUGAGACACGGUCCAGACUCCUACGGGAGGCAGCAGUGGGGAAUAUUGCACAAUGGGCGCAAGCCUGAUGCAGCCAUGCCGCGUGUGUGAAGAAGGCCUUCGGGUUGUAAAGCACUUUCAGCGGGGAGGAAGGCGNNCGAUUGACGUUACCCGCAGAAGAAGCACCGGCUAACUCCGUGCCAGCAGCCGCGGUAAUACGGAGGGUGCAAGCGUUAAUCGGAAUUACUGGGCGUAAAGCGCACGCAGGCGGUCUGUCAAGUCGGAUGUGAAAUCCCCGGGCUCAACCUGGGAACUGCAUUCGAAACUGGCAGGCUAGAGUCUUGUAGAGGGGGGUAGAAUUCCAGGUGUAGCGGUGAAAUGCGUAGAGAUCUGGAGGAAUACCGGUGGCGAAGGCGGCCCCCUGGACAAAGACUGACGCUCAGGUGCGAAAGCGUGGGGAGCAAACAGGAUUAGAUACCCUGGUAGUCCACGCCGUAAACGAUGUCGAUUUGGAGGUUGUGCCCUUGAGGCGUGGCUUCCGGAGCUAACGCGUUAAAUCGACCGCCUGGGGAGUACGGCCGCAAGGUUAAAACUCAAAUGAAUUGACGGGGGCCCGCACAAGCGGUGGAGCAUGUGGUUUAAUUCGAUGCAACGCGAAGAACCUUACCUGGUCUUGACAUCCACAGAACUUUCCAGAGAUGGAUUGGUGCCUUCGGGAACUGUGAGACAGGUGCUGCAUGGCUGUCGUCAGCUCGUGUUGUGAAAUGUUGGGUUAAGUCCCGCAACGAGCGCAACCCUUAUCCUUUGUUGCCAGCGGUCCGGCCGGGAACUCAAAGGAGACUGCCAGUGAUAAACUGGAGGAAGGUGGGGAUGACGUCAAGUCAUCAUGGCCCUUACGACCAGGGCUACACACGUGCUACAAUGGCAUAUACAAAGAGAAGCGACCUCGCGAGAGCAAGCGGACCUCAUAAAGUAUGUCGUAGUCCGGAUUGGAGUCUGCAACUCGACUCCAUGAAGUCGGAAUCGCUAGUAAUCGUAGAUCAGAAUGCUACGGUGAAUACGUUCCCGGGCCUUGUACACACCGCCCGUCACACCAUGGGAGUGGGUUGCAAAAGAAGUAGGUAGCUUAACCUUCGGGAGGGCGCUUACCACUUUGUGAUUCAUGACUGGGGUGAAGUCGUAACAAGGUAACCGUAGGGGAACCUGCGGUUGGAUCACCU